rnacentral:tRNA from 1 species
GGGUAGUUGUGAUGGUCCUAAAACCUGACUCUUAAUCAGUAGGUUGAAGGUUCGAUUCCUUCACGGCCCACCA